rnacentral:tRNA from 1 species
GUCUCGUAGCUCAGCUGGUAGAGCGUGCGCUGUGCUAAGUGUAGGGGGCGCCCAUGCUUGGGUUCGAAUCCCACCGAGCACA